UCAAGAAACUUCCACAAUGGGCGAAAGCCUGAUGGAGCGACGUCGCGUGAUGGACGAAGUGCUUCGGCACGUAAACAUCUUUUAUGUGGGAUGAAAUUAUUGACAGUACCACAUGAAUAAGGGGCUCCUAACUCUGUGCCAGCAGGAGCGGUAAUACAGAGGCCCCAAGCGUUAUCCGGAAUCACUGGGCGUAAAGGGUGUCGAGGCGGUUGUAUUAGUCGUUCGUAAAAUCUACGAGCUUAACUUGUAGGCGGCGAACGAAACGGUACGACUUGAGGUUUGGAGAGGUGCGUGGAACUCACGGUGUAGGGGUGAAAUCCGUUGAUAUCGUGGGGAACACCAAAGGCGAAGGCAGCGCACUGGCCAAAAUCUGACGCUCACACACGAAAGCGUGGGGAGCAAACAGGAUUAGAUACCCCAGUAGUCCCUGAGCGGGCUGGCAAGGCGCAU
rnacentral:rRNA from 1 species